rfam:Tupaia chinensis contig32153, whole genome shotgun sequence.
GCAUGGGCUCAGAUUUAAGCCAGGCUUGUCCCCCUGGGCCUUUCCUAGUGCCCGCUGCUAAAGCAAAUUGACCCCAAACCAUUGUCCCCUCUCUGGGUUUGGGCUCCUGGCACUGAAGUGGGUUGCAUAGUG